rnacentral:rRNA from 1 species
UACAGAGGGGGCAAGCGUUAUUCGGAAUUAUUGGGCGUAAAGGGCGCGUAGGCGGCCUGGCAAGUGGAAGGUGAAAUCCCUCGGCUUAACCGAGGAACUGCCCUCCAAACUGCUUGGCUUGAGACCGGGAGAGGUGAGUGGAAUUCCCAGUGUAGCGGUGAAAUGCGUAGAGAUGUGGAGGAACACCGAUGGCGAAGGCAGCCCCCUGGGCUGAGAUUGACGCUCAGGCACGAAAGCGUGGGGAGCAAACAGG